rnacentral:rRNA from 1 species
UACGUAGGCAGCAAGCGUUGUUCGGAUUUACUGGGCGUAAAGAGUGCGUAGGCGGUCCUGUAAGUUUGGUGUGAAAUCUCCCGGCUCAACCGGGAGGGUGCGCCGAAGACUGCAGGGCUUGAGUAUGGGAGAGGUAAGCGGAAUUCCUGGUGUAGCGGUGAAAUGCGUAGAUAUCAGGAGGAACACCUGUGGUGUAGACAGCUUACUGGACCAUAACUGACGCUGAGGCACGAAAGCGUGGGUAGCAAACAGG